UCACAGGAGAACUUACAAUAAAUGGUGAAU
rnacentral:piRNA from 1 species